rfam:Caenorhabditis briggsae complete genome, chrV
CCAACGGCCCUCUUUAGGGCCACAAAUACCAAAAAAUCCAAUUGA